GCGUCGGUAGUAUAGCGGUAGAAUGCUUGCCUUCCAAGCAAGCGGCACGGGUUCGACUCCCGUCCGACGCA